rnacentral:rRNA from 1 species
CCUACGGGAGGCAGCAGUGGGGAAUAUUGGGCAAUGGGCGCAAGCCUGACCCAGCAACGCCGCGUGAAGGAAGAAGGCCUUAGGGUUGUAAACUUAUUUUUUCAGGGACGAAACGAGUGACGGUACUUUAUAAUUAAGCCUCGGCUAACUAUGUGCCAGCAGCCGCGGUAAUACAUAGGUGGCAAGCGUUGUUCGGAUUUACUGGGUGUAAAGGGAGCGUAGGCGGGAGUGUAAGUUAGGUGUGAAAGCUAUGGGCUCAACCCAUGGACUGCAUUUAAUACUGGACUUCUUGAGUGCGGGGGAGGCAAGCGGAAUUCCGUGGGUAGCGGUGAAAUGCGUAGAGAUGAGGAGGAACACCAGUGGCGAAGGCGGAUUGCUGGACCGUAACUGACGCUGAGGCGCGAAAGCGUGGGGAGCAAACAGGAUUAGAUACCCGGGUAGUC